AGUAAGGCUGAGUGUUAGGCAAAUCCGGCACUCGUUAGGCUGAGCUGUGAUGGGGAGAGGAAAUUGUUUCCUCGAGUCGUUGAUUUCACACUGCCGAGAAAAGCCUCUAGAUAGAUAACAGGUGCCCGUACCGCAAACCGACACAGGUAGUCAAGAUGAGAAUUCUAAGGUGAGCGAGCGAACUCUCGUUAAGGAACUCGGCAAAAUGACCCCGUAACUUCGGGAGAAGGGGUGCUCUUUAGGGUUCACGCCCAGAAGAGCCGCAGUGAAUAGGCCCAAGCGACUGUUUAUCAAAAACACAGGUCUCUGCUAAACCGUAAGGUGAUGUAUAGGGGCUGACGCCUGCCCGGUGCUGGAAGGUUAAGAGGAGUGGUUAGCUUCUGCGAAGCCACGAAUCGAAGCCCCAGUAAACGGCGGCCGUAACUAUAACGGUCCUAAGGUAGCGAAAUUCCUUGUCGGGUAAGUUCCGACCCGCACGAAAGGCGUAACGAUUUGGGCACUGUCUCAACGAGAGACUCGGUGAAAUCAUAGUACCUGUGAAGAUGCAGGUUACCCGCGACAGGACGGAAAGACCCCGUGGAGCUUUACUGUAGCCUGAUAUUGAAAUUCGGCA
rnacentral:rRNA from 1 species